ensembl:lncRNA
GUUGAAAUGUAAAAUUGUUCUUUAGGUUUUUAACCCCUGAUGAGUUUGCAUCCUUGUCUCAAGAAUAUAUUACUGUAUUGUUUUCUUCAUUGCAUGUUGAUAUGUUAAAUAAUUUGAUAAUAUGUUGUACCUUUUCCCCCAGAGUUGGCAGGUCUGAUGCUGCUGCUGUCUAGCAUAAAAAUGCUUUCACUCGCUUUCUUUUUGUUUUUGGUGCCACAGUUAACUAGAAAUGGUUGAUGGUUGUAAAGUUAAAUGUCACCAUCCUUCCUUCAUCAUCUCAGAAAUGCUCCUCUGGCCUUUAAUCAGUGUGGGUUACAACUACAGCACGAGAUUUAUAAAGCUGCUGACCUCCACACAGGUUGAAAAGGUCAUGUUCACCUCAGGUUCUGAAUGAGCGGUGCUUCAGAUGUCGGACAGAAGCAGCAGAGAAAGACUGACUGCUCAGCUUGAGUCUCACUGCACGUGUAGUGGAGAACAAUCCAAAUGCCUGAAGAUGCCUUCAGACAGACAGAUCCGAGUCACGCCGUUGUUGUCUGCAGCGCCAAGAGAAAAGAGAGACUAUGAGUCCAGAUCACCUCAAACACACACACAGUCUCUGGUGCGUGGACUGUAAAUCUGUUUUUCUGCAUAUGUUGAUGUGAAAUAUGAUCAGUUCAGCUCCACUGUUACAUUUACACUUAUUCAUUUUAGCAGACGCUUUUAUCUAAAACAACUUACAAAUUAGGAACAUCACAAGUAUUUUGUGAGGCUGCAUGCAGAAUAGAAGAGAGAACAUUUUUUAACCUGCACAUUUUUGGUUUGCACUAAGUGUUUUUGUUAAUGGUUGUGGGUUGGUUAGUGAAGUGUUUUGUUUCUUGACUGUGAUGAUCUCAGUAGAUCAGCUGGAGAUUUGCGGCUUGUUUCAACAGCAAGGAACAGAGACGGUGAAGGUUCUGGAAAAUGACUUUAUACAUGAAUGCGAAGGAACCUCUGGGAGCCUCUUUACUGUAUCUUUCAGUAUUCAACACUUAAAAGAACAAAAAGAGCAUUUAUGACUCAUUCUGAACUUCCUGAUGUCACACAGAUGAACAUCAGCACAGAGUUACCGAGUUAUCAGAAUGCACUCUUUUCUAAAAAUAUCAUCCCUCAGCAUUUACUAUCAAGAGCUGCAUGUGCAGUCACAAACUUUACUUUUUCACCAUCAACACACACACUCACACACACACACACACACACAUACACACACACACACACACUCACACACACAUCUGCGCUGGAGCAGCACA